UGGAUCCAGACUUUGAUCAUGGCUCAGGACGAACGCUGGCGGCGCGCCUAACACAUGCAAGUCGAACGGAGCUUAGAGAGCUUGCUUUUUAAGCUUAGUGGCGAACGGGUGAGUAACGCGUGAGUAACCUGCCCUAGAGUGGGGGACAACAGUUGGAAGCGACUGCUAAUACCGCAUAAGCCCACGGUACCGCAUGGUACUGAGGGAAAAGGAUUUAUUCGCUUUAGGAUGGACUCGCGUCCAAUUAGCUAGUUGGUGAGGUAACGGCCCACCAAGGCGACGAUUGGUAGCCGGACUGAGAGGUUGAACGGCCACAUUGGGACUGAGACACGGCCCAGACUCCUACGGGAGGCAGCAGUGGGGGAUAUUGCACAAUGGGGGAAACCCUGAUGCAGCGACGCCGCGUGGAGGAAGAAGGUUUUCGGAUUGUAAACUCCUGUCGUUAGGGACGAUAAUGACGGUACCUAACAAGAAAGCACCGGCUAACUACGUGCCAGCAGCCGCGGUAAAACGUAGGGUGCAAGCGUUGUCCGGAAUUACUGGGUGUAAAGGGAGCGCAGGCGGGAAGACAAGUUGGAAGUGAAAACCAUGGGCUCAACCCAUGAAUUGCUUUCAAAACUGUUUUUCUUGAGUAGUGCAGAGGUAGAUGGAAUUCCCGGUGUAGCGGUGGAAUGCGUAGAUAUCGGGAGGAACACCAGUGGCGAAGGCGGUCUACUGGGCACCAACUGACGCUGAGGCUCGAAAGCAUGGGUAGCAAACAGGAUUAGAUACCCUGGUAGUCCAUGCCGUAAACGAUGAUUACUAGGUGUUGGGGGAUUGACCCCCUCAGUGCCGCAGUUAACACAAUAAGUAAUCCACCUGGGGAGUACGACCGCAAGGUUGCAACUCAAAUGAAUUGACGGA
rnacentral:rRNA from 1 species